AAGCUGUCACUGAGAGAUGGGUCUGCGUCUGAUUAGCUAGUUGGCGGGGUAAUGGCCCACCAAGGCGACGAUCAGUAGCCGGUCUGAGAGGAUGAACGGCCACAUUGGGACUGAGACACGGCCCAAACUCCUACGGAGGGCAGCAGUGGGGAAUCUUCCGCAAUGGACGAAAGUCUGAUGGAGCAACGCCGCGUGAGUGAAGAAGGGUUUCGGCUCGUAAAGCUCUGUUGUCGGGGACGAAUGUGCAGUAUUUGAAUAAAGUACUGCAAUGACGGUACCUGACGAGGAAGCCACGGCUAACUACGUG
rnacentral:rRNA from 1 species